rnacentral:sRNA from 1 species
CGGUGCAUUAAAUCCAUUAUCGCCUUGC